rnacentral:misc_RNA from 1 species
CGAAUUUCUUGCAAUAAAUUAAAGAAAUGACCCAAAAGCCCUGGCAAAGCGAUGAAUUCAUGCUCUUCGAGGAUCGCACCCUCAUCAAGUGCAACUUCUUCAAGAAGGCGAAUUUCACGGUUACCCUCGCUCCCGGCUACCAGGGCAUUCCAGAAAACCUUCUAAUCAAUCUCGUAAUGUGGGUGAGCCUCAUCACGCUGUACAGUGUUCUCAAUAGAACGGCUAAGAACUACAGCAGAAUGGCGCUGCUCCACAAUCGAGACGACCAGAAGUGGUCCCAGCUCAUUUACGGAAAUCGAACAGAACUCGAAGCGGACGAAAGCCUUGAAUCCCUUGAGACUGUAAUACGGCACGAGACAGGAUUCCUCAGCUGGGUUUGGUCAAUCUUCCUGAUAAAGGACCGGCACGUGUUGAAAAAGAACGGUCCGGACGCAGUGCAGUACCUGACCUUCCAGAGACACAUCAUUGUCUUCGUGCUCAUCGUGUGCCUCUGCUGCGUGGGGAUCAUCCUGCCCAUCCAUGUAUUCGGAGACAUCGAAGGAGACGCGCGGAAGUUCGUCCAUACCACCCUCAACAACAUGGACCCGAAGGCAGCAAGUUUGUGGGUCCAUGUGGUUUUCGCCUUCCUAUUCCUGCCGCUGGGCGUGAUGUUUAUGCGACACUUCUCAGCCAAACUCCACAUACAUCCGGAAGAGAGCAGGGUCAGCCGGACUCUCAUGAUCGUCGGAGUGCCCCGGAAGAACUGCAACGGCCAGAUGUUCCGCCAGCACUUUAGCGAGGCCUAUCCCGACUGCCUCAUCCAGGACAUUCAGUUCGCCUACGACAUAAGGGAGCUGGUUGUCCUCGAUAGCAACAGGGAGGUGUCGACCCAGGCCAGAAUGUGGUGUGAAAAUCAAAUCAACAGCACCGGCGAGCGGCCCAAGAUGAGGCCCUAUCAGUUUAGCAGGCUCUGGGUAUUCGGCGAUGCGUGUGGCUGUAAACGGGUGGACGCUCUCGACUACUACCUAAGAGAAGAGUCGGACUAUCUGAGGGAGGUGGAGUUGGAGCGCGAAAAGGCACUCGGGAGGCCAGUGGGCUUUGUCUUUGUCACCUUCGAAAGCGAGGAAAUGGCCAUGAUGGUCUGCAAGGACCACAGAACCCAGUGCCAAUGCUACUCUCCAAACUCCAUGCCGACGUCCAGCAUGACCAAGGACCUUCGUCCCAAUACUUGGAAGGUCACAUUUGCACCUCCGCCCAGCGACAUCUUUUGGGAAAAUCUGUCCGUUGGCAAGUGGGCCUGGUACAUCCGCUCGUUCGUCAUCAACUUCGUGCUUUUCCUCAUUCUGUUCUUUCUCACAACUCCCUUCAUCAUCGUGUCCAACCUCGACCGCAUCUUUCGGUCUGCGCAGCCAAUGAAUCCAUUUUUCUCCAAGUUCCUGCCGACCAUGAUGCUCUGGCUGGUGGCUGCUGCGAUGCCCGCUAUGGUCACCAUGUCUGACGUUUUCAUAGCACACUGGACCAGGUCAUCAAGAAACCACUCCGUUAUGAGGAAGAUAUUUUUGUUUCUUCUGUUCAUGGUCCUUAUUCUACCUUCGUUAGGCCUAACAAGUGCUGAGGCAUUCGUCAACUGGGCAUUUAGACCGAGCAAUCAGACCGAAUUUUGGAAGUGCCUCUUUCUCCCAGACAGCGGCGCCUUCUUCAUAAAUUACGUAGUCACCUCCUCGUUCGUUGGCACCACAAUGGAGCUCAUUCGCUUCCCACAGCUAUGCCUCUUUAUCCUGUACACCUUCAUGUCACGGUCGAAAGCAGAGACGUUCGCUGUUCAAAGAGUCUGGUAUACCUUUGCUUCAAGCACAGCGUAGACCGCUACAACAUCUACUUCGUAUACAGCCCUUCCAAAACGAACAAAUACAUCCAUGCGACAGCCAUAGACUUCGUAAUCUUGUCGCUGAUCUUGCUCCAGCUCACGCUCUUCAUAUUCUUCUUCCUCAGAGCAGGAAGUAGCAACGUAACCCUGGUGACCU